UGGGUAGUCAUAUCUGGCAUUUAUAAGUUAUUUCAACAGCUAGAUCAGUAAAUCUAUCAGAUGAGAGUAGAUAAAAGAAAGUUCUUUGUCAUUUUUGCUUUAUUUGAUAGCACAACCAAAUGCCCCAUGGAGGUCGAGGAGGUUCUGACGAGUGGUUCUAUGAGGACCAUACAUAAAUGUGAAUGACUAACCAUAUCUCUGAAGAUGGAUUCCUGGCAAAAUGUCAUCACCUAGAAACAUCUAUCAUGGAGAUUCAGAUCAGUCUACCACUUCAACCAUUUACAAACGCCAAGAUACAAACAUUAGUCUCUACUAACAUUUGAACGUUUUUAAGAUUUGGAACAGCAACUUCAGGCUCUACCUGCAGUAGCAAUACAAAAUAUUCAAGUAUAUAAAUUGUUUGCUAUAUUUUUAUUAGCUGUUGUACCAGCCAACCUUCUUUCCUGAUGGUAAGAAUUAAUUUGCGAUCAGAAGAAUCAUAUUCACAGUAUCAUUUUGAAAGAAGUCAUGCAUAGGCUUGUCAAGGCAGGACAGAAAAGCAAGAUAUGAAAAAACAGACAUAGCUGUCCUUGUCACCAGUGCUUUAGUAGUUAAAAUAUCUAGCCUCCCUGAAUAACUGAGGUCUUGAAUUAUUGAAGUAUCUUCGUACUUUCCUUCAGGAGAAGAUAUGAGACUUACUUUGUAAAAGAGAUAUUAAAUUCUAAGUGAUAUGUCUUAAUAUCUUUUGUUCAAAACAUGAAUAUGAUUUAGCGAGUAUCUAUUCUUCCUACUAUAGCACGUUACCUUGCUUAAACUAUAUAGAAAGAAAAUUACCCAAGUUAACAAACAUUCAAAUUUUCAAAACCCUCUUAUUUCUGUGGUCUUCACAUCUGCCAGGCUUCAUCUGUACUUAGGGAAGUGGAAAGCCUUUUCCAGAGGGUGAUUUUGUGCUCCAAUUUGUCUUUUAAAAGAACAUCUCUCAUUCUGUUACCAGUAGAAAAGGCCUCAGGAAGCUGAGUUAAAACUAUCCUUUGUGAAUAACCCAUCCCAGCCCCAAAACAGACUAUCAAAGGAACUCGGGUAAUUAAAAGACUGAUUUCAGUCAAAUUUAGUUAUUGAACUGCUUUUAAAGAAAUUAUAAGUCUUUCACAUGUUAACAGGGAACAUUCUUGAAUGGAGCAGUUAGUGAAACUAAGAGUUUCUUUUAACCAUUGUUUCACUCAACUUGGAAAUUGACCUGAGAAAUGAGUUUGCUAGGAUAAAAUAAAAACUGCCAGACUUUAUUAUUCCA
rnacentral:lncRNA from 1 species